rnacentral:rRNA from 1 species
UACGUAGGGGGCUAGCGUUGUCCGGAAUCAUUGGGCGUAAAGAGCGUGUAGGCGGUCCGGUAAGUCCGCUGUGAAAGUCGGGGGCUCAACCCUCGAAUGCCGGUGGAUACUGUCGGGCUAGAGUGCGGAAGAGGCGAGUGGAAUUCCUGGUGUAGCGGUGAAAUGCGCAGAUAUCAGGAGGAACACCGGUGGCGAAGGCUGGUCUCUGGGCCGAUACUGACGCUGAGGAGCGAAAGCGUGGGGAGCGAACAGG